rnacentral:rRNA from 1 species
UACGUAGGGAGCAAGCGUUGUUCGGAUUUACUGGGCGUAAAGCGCGUGUAGGCGGCUUCGCAAGUUGGAUGUGAAAGCCCACGGCUCAACCGUGGAAGCGCAUCCAAAACUGCGUCGCUCGAGUCUCGGAGAGGAAGGUGGAAUGCUUGGUGUAGAGGUGAAAUUCGUAGAUAUCGGGAGGAACACCUGUGGCGAAAGCGGCUCUCUGGACCGUAACUGACGCUGAGACACGAAAGCGUGGGUAGCAAACAGG